rnacentral:ncRNA from 2 species
UACUUAUCAAGAGAGGUGGAGGGACUGGCCCGACGAAACCUCAGCAACAGAUUUAAACUACUGUGCUAAAUCCUGCAAGCCAUGUGCUUGGAAGAUAAGUU